CGGACGGGUGAGUAAUGUCUGGGAAACUGCCUGAUGGAGGGGGAUAACUACUGGAAACGGUAGCUAAUACCGCAUAACGUCGCAAGACCAAAGAGGGGGACCUUCGGGCCUCUCGCCAUCGGAUGUGCCCAGAUGGGAUUAGCUAGUAGGUGGGGUAAAGGCUCACCUAGGCGACGAUCCCCAGCUGGUCUGAGAGGAUGACCAGCCACACUGGAACUGAGACACGGUCCAG
rnacentral:rRNA from 1 species